GGGCUGGGAGGAAGUCCAUGUACGACAAAAUUCGCUGGAAGAGGGGGCUGGAGCCACCCACCCCAUCCUUCGUGUACUGUAGCCUAUAAAUGGGUUGUCUCUAUUCCACUCAGACUCGUUCAACCGGGACUCGGGAGAGAAAGAAAACAGUGCAGAUUUAAGGUCAUUAGCUCUCACCGUUUGACGGACGAAUCAUGAAUGCCAUAUUUACGGUGUCAUUUUUUCUUCUUGUCGCCUUAGCGGCACUGGGAACAGAAUCCGAAUCAGUGUAACCUACAGUACGGCCUCUCGGUGCUGAUUGCUACGCUACCAUAUCAAGAAACCACCGUUGCAAAUGUAUUCAAAAUGCCCCGGAUAAUAAAUGUGCAACCAUUAAGGCGAAGAUGGUAAAGAGGAUUGAGCGUUUCCCAGCUGGGCCCUUCUGCAAUAAAGAGGAAGUCAUCAUUCAUUUCCAGAGAGGAAAAACACUAUGUGUUGAUCCUACAGCAAAAUCAAUUAUAAAACUGGAAGAAAUCAUCAGGCUGAGGGUAGCUGCCAACAUCAGCCCCACUAGCACCCCGGAGACCAUGACUACUGCAGACAACUGAUGCCCUGUCAAAACGAGGUUGAGGAGAAACCUAGGAGGGAGAAGAAUGCAUGCUUCACACUCCAAGUCAGACUCUUGGUGUUGAGGUCUCUGAUCGCCAACCAGUCAAAAUUAGGUGCAGAGAGAUGUGGUGGGAUACAGUUCAAGACUAUUUCUGUAUGCAGAUGAGAAUCAAAAGUUUGUUGAUGUUAUUGAUGGAAGAACAAGUUUGUUGAUGUUAUUGAUGGAAGAAGAUUUUGCACUUUUGCCAUUUUUUGCAAUGAAAAUGUUUUUCAGGGGUAAUUAACUAUCUCUAUGUAUACCAAUUUCACAAUAAACACAAUAAAUGCAGUAAUGCACAAAUUUAAAUUGAUUAUUUAAUUGCAAGAAAAAUGUUAUGUUAAAUAGUUUUGGUUGUUGGAUAGGCUACUGUAUGUGAAACACAUCACGUGAUUAAUACACAUGCUAUAUGAUUAUUUCAUGAUACAUUUCAAUUAAUUAAUCAAGCUUGUAAUUAAUUAAAUUAUUUUUAAAGUGCUUAUAAUAAUACUGAUAAUAAUAACAAUUAUUUUCUUUUUUUUUUAUUCAAUAAAAUGCCUUCAUGGGAUGGUUAUAGUUAUGAGAUGAUUAUGCAAACUGCAGUACACGGUAAAUGUGAAUACAUUUUUUAAAUAUUUUAUAUAUUUGUAUAUGUAUUUUUGUAGUUGUUGACAUCUUUGUCAUUCAGUCUUUGUGUCAGUCUGUUACAUCAUCAAAAUGUGAAUUAUGACUAUUUAUUAAAUAUGUCUAUUUUUAAACAA